AUCAUAUGCAUGUUCAAGUUACCUUCAGCCCCCAUCAAAUUGCAAGCUAAGAACUCUUGCAAAGAAAAUGAGGCAUAACCAAGUAAUUAAAAAAUUAUUUAUCCCAAUACAAUCUUUAAAUGCAUGGUUUACAUGAUGAUCCAAAACUGAGCUAAGAGAAAAGAAAUAGCACAAAAGUAAAAUAAAAAAAAAAUUACUUAAAAUCCAAUUAUGUUGUCGAUUCAAUCAACAACCUAAUGCUAAAGUAUGGAUUUGAAUAUUGCCAUCUUAAAACCCAUACACAAGUUAAAACCUAUCAUUGAAAGUUGCAAAAGUUUCAACUCGAUUUUGAUUCUCAAAAAUUCCUUAAUGCUCUGCAUACCCUUUAGGGAAGUCCUCCCACGCUUAUGCUGCAUCAUACUAGCACUUUGUGCAGCUCUUAGGAGAAAAUCAGCA
rnacentral:misc_RNA from 1 species